UUCGGUGGCGAUAGCGAGGGGGUUCCACCUGUUCCCAUCCCGAACACAGCAGUUAAGCCCCUCAGCGCGGAUGAUACUUGGUCUCAAGGCCCGGGAAAGUACGUCGCUGCCGAAA
rnacentral:rRNA from 1 species